rnacentral:rRNA from 1 species
CAUUGGCUCAACCAANGUAUGCUUUGGAAACUGUUAGACUUGAGUNCAGAAGGGGAGAGUGGAAUNCCAUGUGUAGCGGUGAAAUGCGUAGAUAUAUGGAGGAACACCGGUGGCGAAAGCGGCUCUCUGNUCUGUCACUGACGCUGAGGCUCGAAAGCGUGGGUAGCGAACAGGAUUAGAUACCCUGGUAGUCCACGCCGUAAACGAUGAGUGCUAGGUGUUAGGUCCUUUCCGGGACUUAGUGCCGCAGCUAACGCAAUAAGCACUCCGCCUGGGGAGUACGACCGCAAGGUUGAAACUCAAAGGAAUUGACGGGGGCCCGCACAAGCGGUGGAGCAUGUGGUUUAAUUCGAAGCAACGCGAAGAACCUUACCAGGUCUUGACAUCCCGAUGCCCGCUCUAGAGAUAGAGUUUUUCUUCGGAACAUCGGAGACAGGUGGUGCAUGGUUGUCGUCAGCUCGUGUCGUGAGAUGUUGGGUUAAGUCCCGCAACGAGCGCAACCCUUAUUGUUAGUUGCCAUCAUUGAGUUGGGCACUCUAGCGAGACUGCCGGUAAUAAACCGGAGGAAGGUGGGGAUGACGUCAAAUCAUCAUGCCCCUUAUGACCUGGGCUACACACGUGCUACAAUGGUUGGUACAACGAGUCGCAAGCCGGUGACGGCAAGCUAAUCUCUGAAAGCCAAUCUCAGUUCGGAUUGUAGGCUGCAACUCGCCUACAUGAAGUCGGAAUCGCUAGUAAUCGCGGAUCAGCACGCCGCGGUGAAUACGUUCCCGGGCCUUGUACACACCGCCCGUCACACCACGAGAGUUUGUAACACCCAAAGUCGGUGAGG